UACGUAGGGGGCGAGCGUUGUCCGGAGUUACUGGGCGUAAAGCGUGCGCAGGCGGUGCUGUAAGACAGGGGUGAAAUCCCCGGGCUUAACCUGGGAACUGCAUUUGUGACUGCAUCGCUGGAGUGCGGCAGAGGGGGAUGGAAUUCCGCGUGUAGCAGUGAAAUGCGUAGAUAUGCGGAGGAACACCGAUGGCGAAGGCAAUCCCCUGGGCCUGCACUGACGCUCAUGCACGAAAGCGUGGGGAGCAAACAGG
rnacentral:rRNA from 1 species